UACGUAGGGUGCGAGCGUUAAUCGGAAUUAUUGGGCGUAAAGCGUGCGCAGGCGGUUUUGCAAGCCGGAUGUGAAAUCCCCGGGCUCAACCUGGGAAUGGCAUUCGGGACUGCAAGGCUGGAGUGCGGCAGAGGAGACUGGAAUUCCUGGUGUAGCAGUGAAAUGCGUAGAUAUCAGGAGGAAUACCGAUGGCGAAGGCAGGUCUCUGGGCUGACACUGACGCUCAUGCACGAAAGCGUGGGGAGCAAACAGG
rnacentral:rRNA from 1 species